rnacentral:rRNA from 1 species
CACGAACGCUGGCGGCAGGCCUAACACAUGCAAGUCGAGCGGAUCCUUCGGGAUUAGCGGCGGACGGGUGAGUAACGCGUGGGAAUAUGCCCUUCUCUACGGAAUAGCCUCGGGAAACUGGGAGUAAUACCGUAUACGCCCUACGGGGGAAAGAUUUAUCGGAGAAGGAUUAGCCCGCGUUGGAUUAGGUAGUUGGUGGGGUAAUGGCCUACCAAGCCUACGAUCCAUAGCUGGUUUGAGAGGAUGAUCAGCCACACUGGGACUGAGACACGGCCCAGACUCCUACGGGAGGCAGCAGUGGGGAAUCUUAGACAAUGGGGGAAACCCUGAUCUAGCCAUGCCGCGUGAGUGAUGAAGGCCUUAGGGUUGUAAAGCUCUUUCAGCUGGGAAGAUAAUGACGGUACCAGCAGAAGAAGCCCCGGUUAACUCCGUGCCAGCAGCCGCCGCCGUAA